rnacentral:rRNA from 1 species
CCCUUAGAUGUCCGGGGCCGCACGCGCGCUACACUGAAGGAAUCAGCGUGGCUUUCUCCCUGACCCGAAAGGGUUGGGAAACCCGUUGAAUCUCCUUCGUGAUAGGGAUUGGGGCUUGAAAUUGUUCCCCAUGAACGAGGAAUUCCCAGUAAGCGCGAGUCAUAAGCUCGCGUUGAUUACGUCCCUGCCCUUUGUACACACCGCCCGUCGCUACUACCGAUUGAACGGUUUAGUGAGGGCCUCGGAUUGGUCUCGGCCCGCUCUUUACCGGGCGGCGCCGUCGGUCGAGAAGACGCUCGAACUUGAUCGUUUAGAGGAAGUAAAAGUCGUAACA